CUAUGUCUUAAAUAAUUAGACAUGGCGGAAGGAG
rnacentral:ncRNA from 1 species